rnacentral:rRNA from 1 species
AGUGAACGCUGGCGGUAGGCCUAACACAUGCAAGUCGAACGGCAGCACAGUAAGAGCUUGCUCUUACGGGUGGCGAGUGGCGGACGGGUGAGGAAUACAUCGGAACCUACUUUUUCGUGGGGGGUAACGUAGGGAAACUUACGCUAAUACCGCAUACGACCUACGGGUGAAAGCAGGGGAUCUUCGGACCUUGCGCGAUUGAAUGAGCCGAUGUCGGAUUAGCUAGUUGGCGGGGUAAAGGCCCACCAAGGCGACGAUCCGUAGCUGGUCUGAGAGGAUGAUCAGCCACACUGGAACUGAGACACGGUCCAGACUCCUACGGGAGGCAGCAGUGGGGAAUAUUGGACAAUGGGCGCAAGCCUGAUCCAGCCAUACCGCGUGGGUGAAGAAGGCCUUCGGGUUGUAAAGCCCUUUUGUUGGGAAAGAAAAGCAGCAGGUUAAUACCCCGCUGUUCUGACGGUACCCAAAGAAUAAGCACCGGCUAACUUCGUG